UCUACACCGGGAUGUUCAUAACCCUUUGUUGUCCGACUCUGUUGCCUCCGGGGCGACCCUGCCUUCGGGCGGGGGCUCCGGGUGGACACUUCAAACUCUUGCGUAACUUUGCAGUCUGAGUAAACUUAAUUAAUAAAUUAAAACUUUUAACAACGGAUCUCUUGGUUCUGGCAUCGAUGAAGAACGCAGCGAAAUGCGAUAACUAAUGUGAAUUGCACAAUUCAGUGAAUCAUCGAAUCUUUGAACGCACAUUGCGCCCCCUGGUAUUCCGGGGGGCAUGCCUGUUCGAGCGUCAUUUCACCACUCAAGCCUCGCUUGGUAUUGGGCAACGCGGUCCGCCGCGUGCCUCAAAUCGACCGGCUGGGUCUUCUGUCCCCUAAGCGUUGUGGAAACUAUUCGCUAAAGGGUGUUCGGGAGGCUACACCGUACAACAACCCCAUUUCUAAGGUUGACCUCGGAUCAGGUAGGGAUACCCGCUGAACUUAAGCAUAUCCAUAAGCGGAGG
rnacentral:rRNA from 1 species